UUUCCGUAGGUGAACCUGCGGAAGGAUCAUUAUUGUAUAACCGAGGUGCGAGGGCUGUCGCUGACCCGAAAGGUCGUGCACGCCCGAGUGCCCUCACACACAUCCAUCUCACCCCUAUGUGCACCACCGCGUGGGUCCCCCUUUGGCUUGUUCGGAGGGGGGCUUACGUUUUCACACAAACUUUGUAUGCAGUGUAGAAUGUAUUUUUUGUUUUUGCGAUCACGCAAUCAAUACAACUCUCAACAACGGAUCUCUUGGCUCUCGCAUCGAUGAAAACGCAGC
rnacentral:misc_RNA from 1 species